UUCGCCUUCUGUGAAGUUCAAAUUUCAAAUUCCAAAACCUAGAAAUUGGUCAUGGAUGAACAAGUACAGCUCAAUCCGAUGUGCCGGAAAAGUCAAUCGAUGGUCCCUUGAUGGCAUGAAUGCCCUUGUCACUGGUGGUACUAGAGGCAUUGGGCAUGCGAUAGUGGAGGAAUUGUGUGGACUGGGAGCCACCGUGCAUACGUGUGCCCGUAAUGAAGAUGAGCUUGAAAUUUGUUUGAGGAGCUGGAAAGAUGAGGGCUUUACAGUUUCUGGUUCCUUAUGUGAUGUGUCUUCUCAAGUUGAUCGCCAAAAGUUAAUGGAGGUUGUUUCGUCUACAUUCAAUGGGAAGCUCGACAUUCUUGUAGUAGAUAAACAACGUGGGGACCAAUAUUCGCAAAGCUAUGGUGGAUUUUACUGCUGAAGAAUUUUCCAGCGUCAUGG
rnacentral:misc_RNA from 1 species